UUAUAUUCAAUUAUGAUAUAAAAUUGCAAAUUUUGAGGUGUAAAAAAUUACUAAGGCUU
rnacentral:tRNA from 1 species